rnacentral:rRNA from 1 species
UACGUAGGGGGCAAGCGUUGUCCGGAUUUAUUGGGCGUAAAGAGCGUGUAGGCGGCCAUGUAGGUCCGUUGUGAAAACCCGAGGCUUAACCUCGGGACGCCGACGGAAACCAUCUGGCUAGGGUCCGGAAGAGGAGAGUGGAAUUCCCGGUGUAGCGGUGAAAUGCGCAGAUAUCGGGAAGAACACCCGUGGCGAAGGCGGCUCUCUGGGACGGUACCGACGCUGAGACGCGAAAGCGUGGGGAGCGAACAGG